GUUGAAACAUCAGUUCCCAUACGAUCACCAGAGUUAAGCAAUGCCGAGCCCGGUCAGCACCUCGAUGGGUGACCGCUUGGGAAUACUAG